GACGAACGCUGGCGGCGUGCUUAACACAUGCAAGUCGAACGGAAAGGCCCUGCUUUUGUGGGGUGCUCGAGUGGCGAACGGGUGAGUAACACGUGAGUAACCUGCCCUUGACUUUGGGAUAACUUCAGGAAACUGGGGCUAAUACCGGAUAGGAGCUCCUGCUGCAUGGUGGGGGUUGGAAAGUUUCGGCGGUUGGGGAUGGACUCGCGGCUUAUCAGCUUGUUGGUGGGGUAGUGGCUUACCAAGGCUUUGACGGGUAGCCGGCCUGAGAGGGUGACCGGCCUCAAUGGGACUGAGGUACGGACCAGACUGGAAUGGUAGGCAACAGGCGGGAAUAUUGUACAGUGGGCGGGAGCCUGAUGAAGCGACGCCGCGUGCGGGAUGACGGUCUUGGGGUUGGAAACCGCAUUCGCCUGUGACGAAGCGUGAGUGACGGUAAUGGGUGAAGAAGCACCGGCUAACUACGUG
rnacentral:rRNA from 1 species